UAAUACACUAAUUAGACUCCAGGACAAAACUACUUAAAUUAGAAUGCAUGCCUCAUAAUAAAUCUCCUUUUUCUUACUUCACUUAUCUUUAAGAAAUUUCUUAAGCUCAUAUAUUAUUUGAUUCGUCUUCAUCUACUAUUUUCGGGCUUCGACUAAAUUGGAUCUAUGUAUCUUUUUACUUUGAAAAUUUUACUCAUUAAGUAAAACUCUAAAAUAAAUUCCUAGAUCAAUUAUUUUAUCUUAGUUAUACAAUUAGAUGAAACCAUAUAAAAAAUAUUAAUUGAACCUUAACUUAAACUUUGGCUAAAAUUUAAUAUUAUAUUUGCUCCCAAAAGAUAUUAUUUUCUAAACUAGACGAAGACUCUCUUUUAUUUUCAGCCGAAAGGAUAGGUAAAUUUCGGGAUUGGGCUUCCCUUCAUUUAUUUACUGCAGCCCCAUUUGUUAAAAGGAAUUGGGCUCAAAUUUAAAUUCUUCCACUCCCUUAGCCCAAGUAACUAAUUCAUUAGCCCAACAACAAGAAAAUAAAACCCAUAUGUAAAUACUAUUUCAUCUUCCCCAAUCUACCGUAAGCCUAAAAUGAGAGAACUCCCCUCCCCCCUUUUCACUUGCUGCUACCGCCGCCGCCAUCCUCAGCGCCGCCACCCGCCGUCGCCGCUGACUCUUCCUCUCUCUUCUCCCCUCUCUCUCUCUUUCUCUCUUCUCUCCAUCUCUCUCUCUUUUCUCUCCCUCUUCACCGCCGACAUGCAGAGGCAGCGGCUUCGCCGCCCUCCUCCCGGCAGUCCGGCCGUCUCCGGACAGCAGUAGAGCUGCGCACUCUCUCUCUGUCAGCUUCCUCCCUCUCUCUCUCUCCACUCCGAUUCCCGCCGUCACCGCGAAUCCGCUACCGCCGCGAAUCCGCCUCCGUCGCUGGUUCGCGUCCCCGCCGCCAUCACCGAGAACCUCCCCCUCCAGCCGCCGACGCCGUCUCUCGACAGAUAUGAAAAAGAACAGAUGUGUUUUUGGAGCGUGGGCCGCCAUCGUCGGCGACGGAGUGCAGAGCUCGUUGCCUGAAGUUAUUCGGCAGAUUCAUCCUCUAAGAUAAGAUUCUUAAUUCAUGCUUACCUUGGUUGUGGGACUUGGAUUAUUGGAUUAUUUAUAUGUUAUGUGAAUUUGGUGAUCCUUAAACAAUUAUCUUGCUAUUUUUGAUUUGAUGGCGAAACAUGGUGUUAAACUUGUUGUGUAUUGUUGAUUUCUGAUUUGAGCAGAUUCUAAUCUCUUUAGAUAUGCAUAUGCUUGUACGUAUGUGCAAGAAAGAAAAGGGUUGUUGUUUACCUCUUUGUGGUGAAAAAGUGUUGUUGGAUUGUAGCAAUCUCCCUCUUCGAACUCCUCUAUGUUUUGUGGGGUUGGUGUGUGCAGAGAGAUAAGGGGGUGUGAUGGUGAAAAAGAAAAAAAACUGAUUGUAUAUCUAUAUGCAUAUUCACAAAAGAUGGUAGUGAAAGUAACAGUGUAGCAAGUUGUGGUAGAAAGUUGUCUUACACAUUACUAUCUCAAAUUAUUCUCCUUUGUUAGGAGGAGAUAAUGAUCCGCCAUUCUAAUUAAAUGCAGCAUUAAAUGCUAUUGAAAAAAAAAUUCGAUCCACUUAAUCUACCCUCUUUUUAUUUUAUUUAUUUAUUUAAUGAUUUAAGUAAUUGUUUAUUUAUUUAUUCACUUGUUUAUUAAAUUUUGGUGUAGGUAUAAUCGUUUCAAGUUCGUGGCUUUGGUGUAGGAAAACAAAUAACGUCCAUAGUAUUCCCUAAUGAUGUACCGGACUUUCUUGGAGUGCGAGCACGACCGUUGAACGGGCUACGUGAACUUUUCUCUAAUUGUAAUAGAUAAGGAUUUGAUAAAUUUGUAUAAUAGUAAUUUAGCGGACUUCGGAGAUAUGCCGGACAUUAUAAAUUUUUAUUUAGUGUUAUUUUAUUUAUUUAUUUA